UACUAGAGUAGCACUCGCAUAUCAAUAAGCGGAGGAAAAGAAACUAACAAGGAUUCCCCUAGUAACGGCGAGUGAAGCGGGAAGAGCUCAAAUUUGAAAUCUUAAAGGGUUUCCCUUUACGAAUUGUAGUUUAAAGAAGUGUUUUCUGUUGAGGUUUUGGUAAAAGUUCUUUGGAAUAGGACAUCAUAGAGGGUGAGAAUCCCGUAUUUGACCUUUACUUUCAACUUUGUGAUACACUUUCAAAGAGUCGGAUUGUUUGGGAAUGCAGUCCAAAAUGGGUGGUAAAUUUCAUCUAAAGCUAAAUAUUGGCGAGAGACCGAUAGCGAACAAGUACCGUGAGGGAAAGAUGAAAAGAACUUUGAAAAGAGAGUUAAACAGUACGUGAAAUUGUCAAAAGGGAAGCGUUUGACACCAGUGUUGUUUUUCUGAAAAUCAAUUAAAGAACUGUUUAUGCUAAGUUGUUUAGACUUUAUCAGCUAUCUGUUUAGUUUUGAGCUUUUCUUUAAUGCACUUUUCAGUUAACAAGUCAACAUCAAUUUCUUUUGCUGUAAAAAAGCUUGAGGAAGGUGGCAUUGAGAUUCGUCUUAAGUGUUUAUAGCCUCUUGCCUAUGCAGUCGGAGAGAUUGAGGUCUGCAGCGUAGAUCCUUCGGGGCUAAAUGCAUUUGUGCUAAGUUAUAGCAUUUUAUAGACAACUUGUUGACUAUGAUUUGUCUUGUAGCUUACUCGCUUAUGUUAUUUUACCUACGCUUAGGAUGUUGAUCUACAGAGCGAGAGU
rnacentral:rRNA from 1 species